AGCGGCCGCGGUAAUUCCAGCUCCAAUAGCGUAUAUUAAAGUUGUUGCAGUUAAAAAGCUCGUAGUUGAAUUUCGGGGUUAGUAGAUUGGUCAUGCCUCUGGUAUGCACUGGUCUCACUGAUUCCUCCUUCCUGAUGAGCCGUAAUGCCAUUAAUUUGGUGUUGCGGGGAAUUUGGACUGUUACUUUGAAAAAAUUGAGUGUUUAAAGCAAGCUAACGCUUGAAUACAUUAGCAUGGAAUAAUGAAAUAGGACGUUCGAUCCUAUUUUGUUGGUUUCUAGGAUUGACGUAAUGAUUAAUAGGGAUAGUUGGGGGCAUUAGUAUUCAAUUGUCAGAGGUGAAAUUCUUGGAUUUAUUGAAGACUAACUACUGCGAAAAGCAUUUGCCAAGGAUGUUUUCAUUAAUCAAGACGAAAGUUAGGGGAUCGAAGACGAUCAGAUACCGUCGUAGUCUAACCAUAACUAUGCCGAUGGGAUCGGAUGAUGUUAAUUUUUAUGUACUCAUUCGGCGCCUUAAC
rnacentral:rRNA from 1 species